GCUUUUCACAAAGUGAUUCAUCCUGGUUUGAUUGGAACGACGAAGAAGCUGUGCUAUUCCCAAACUGGGAAACUGGAAUCACCUGAUUUGAAAGUGGGAUAACUUCUUCAUGCCAACUCCUAUGAGAUUUAUUCAACUUCCUGGUGAUUCUCCACCACUUUUAUGUAUCCAAAUCAAGCUUCUUACAAAGUGAUUCAUCCUGGUUUGUUUGGAACGACGAAGAAGCUGUUCUAUUCCUAAACUGGGAAACUGGAAUCACCUGAUUUGAAAGUGGUGAUUCUCCACCACUUUAUGUAUCCAAAUCAAGUUUCUUACAAAGUGAUUCAUCCUGGUUUGAUUGGAACGACGAAGAAGCUGUGCUAUUCCCAAACUGGGAAACUGGAAUCACCUGAUUUGAAAGUGGGAUAACUUCUUCCUGCCAACUCCUAUGAGAUUUAUUCAACUUCCUGGUGAUUCUCCACCACUUUAUAUAUCCAAAUCAAGCUUCUCACAAAAUGAAUCAUCCUGGUUUGAUUGGAACGACGAAGAAGCUGUGAUAUUCCCAAACUGGGAAGCUGGAAUCACCUGAUUUGAAAGUGGGGUAACUUCUUCUUGCCAACUCCUAUGAGAUUGAUUCAACUUCCUGGUGAUUCUCCACAAAUUUAUGUAUCCAAAUCAAGCUUCUCACAAAGUGAUUCAUCCUGGUUUGAUUGGAACGACGAAGAAGCUGUGCUAUUCCCAAACUGGGAAACUGGAAACACCUGAUUUGAAAGUGGGAUAACAUCUUUAUGCCAACUCCUAUGAGAUUUAUUCAACUUCCUGGUGAUUCUCCACAACUUUAUGUAUCCAAAUCAAGCUUCUCACAAAGUGAUUCAUCCUGGUUUGAUUGGAACGACGAAGAAGCUGUGCUAUUCCCAAACUGGGAAAUUGGAAUCACCUGAUUUGAAAGUGGGAUAACUUCUUCAUGCCAACUCCUAUGAGAUUUAUUCAACUUCCUGGUGAUUCUCUGUUGAGA
rnacentral:lncRNA from 1 species